UGGGGAAUUUUGGACAAUGGGCGAAAGCCUGAUCCAGCAAUGCCGCGUGUGUGAAGAAGGCCUUCGGGUUGUAAAGCACUUUUGUCCGGAAAGAAAUCCUUGGCUCUAAUACAGUCGGGGGAUGACGGUACCGGAAGAAUAAGCACCGGCUAACUACGUGCCGGCAGCCGCGGUAAUACGUAGGGUGCAAGCGUUAAUCGGAAUUACUGGGCGUAAAGCGUGCGCAGGCGGUUUGCUAAGACCGAUGUGAAAUCCCCGGGCUCAACCUGGGAACUGCAUUGGUGACUGGCAGGCUAGAGUAUGGCAGAGGGGGGUAGAAUUCCACGUGUAGCAGUGAAAUGCGUAGAGAUGUGGAGGAAUACCGAUGGCGAAGGCAGCCCCCUGGGCCAAUACUGACGCUCAUGCACGAAAGCGUGGGGAGCAAACAGGAUUAGAUACCCUGGUAGUCCACGCCCUAAACGAUGUCAACUAGUUGUUGGGGAUUCAUUUCCUUAGUAACGUAGCUAACGCGUGAAGUUGACCGCCUGGGGAGUACGGUCGCAAGAUUAAAACUCAAAGGAAUUGACGGGGUCAUAGCUGUUU
rnacentral:rRNA from 1 species